AGGAUAAACGCUGGCGGCGUGCAUGAGACAUGCAAGUCGAACGGACGAUUCGGGCUUGCUCGAAUCGUUAGUGGCGGACGGCUGAGUAACGCGUAGGUGACCUGCCCCGAAGUGGGGAAUAACUGCCCGAAAGGGUGGCUAAUACCGCAUGUGGUCGCACGUUCAUUCGUGCGAGUAAAGCCGCAAGGCGCUUCGGGAGGGGCCCGCGUCCGAUUAGCUCGUUGGUGGGGUAAUGGCUCACCAAGGCGACGAUCGGUAGGUGGUCUGAGAGGAUGAUCAGCCACACUGGGACUGAGACACGGCCCAGACUCCUACGGGAGGCAGGCAGUGGGGAAUCUUGCCCAAUGGGCGCAAGCCUGAGGCAGCAACGCGCGUGCGGGAGAAGGCCCUCGGGUUGUAAACCGCUUUCAGCAGGACGAAAAUGACGGUACCUGCAGAAGAAGGUGCGGCCAACUACGUGCCAGCAGCCGC
rnacentral:rRNA from 1 species